rnacentral:tRNA from 1 species
GCCGGGGUAGCUCAGCCUGGUUAGAGCGCCGGACUCAUAAUCCGGAGGCCGCGGGUUCGAAGCCCGCCCCCGGCA